rnacentral:rRNA from 1 species
CACGAACCGGACAAACGUUAUUCGGAAUUAUUGGGCUUAAAGGGUGCGUAGGCGGUGCGGUAAGUGCGGUGUGAAAUCCCUCGGCUCAACCGAGGAAUUGCGCUGCAUACUGCCGUGCUGGAGGGAGACAGAGGUAAGCGGAACUGAUGGUGGAGCGGUGAAAUGCGUUGAUAUCAUCAGGAACACCGGUGGCGAAAGCGGCUUACUGGGUCUCUUCUGACGCUGAGGCACGAAAGCUAGGGUAGCGAACGGG